AUCAGUAAGCGGAGGAAAAGAAACUAACAAGGAUUCCCCUAGUAACGGCGAGUGAAGCGGGAUCUAGCCCAGCACCGAAUCCCCCGUGCCGAGAGGAGCGGCGGGAGCUGUGGUGUUUGGGACGGCCGAAGGCCCGGCGCGCGGCGCUCGAGUCCUCCUGAUCGGGGCCCCAUCCCAUGGCGGGUGUUAGGCCUCUGGCGGCUGCCGCUGUGUCGGUGCCUCUCGGCGUCCCCGGAGUCGGGUUGCUUGGGAAUGCAGCCCAAAGUGGGUGGUAAACUCCAUCUAAGGCUAAAUACUUGCACGAGACCGAUAGCGGACAAGUACCGUGAGGGAAAGUU
rnacentral:rRNA from 1 species